AGAGUUUGAUCCUGGCUCAGAGCGAACGCUGGCGGCAGGCUUAACACAUGCAAGUCGAGCGGGCGUAGCAAUACGUCAGCGGCAGACGGGUGAGUAACGCGUGGGAACAUACCUUUUGGUUCGGAACAACACGGGGAAACUUGUGCUAAUACCGGAUAAGCCCUUACGGGGAAAGAUUUAUCGCCGAAAGAUUGGCCCGCGUCUGAUUAGCUAGUUGGUGAGGUAACGGCUCACCAAGGCGACGAUUCAGUAGCUGGUCUGAGAGGAUGAUCAGCCACAUUGGGACUGAGACACGGCCCAAACUCCUACGGGAGGCAGCAGUGGGGAAUAUUGGACAAUGGGCGCAAGCCUGAUCCAGCCAUGCCGCGUGAGUGAUGAAGGCCCUAGGGUUGUAAAGCUCUUUUGUGCGGGAAGAUAAUGACGGUACCGCAAGAAUAAGCCCCGGCUAACUUCGUGCCAGCAGCCGCGGUAAUACGAAGGGGGCUAGCGUUGCUCGGAAUCACUGGGCGUAAAGGGUGCGUAGGCGGGUCUUUAAGUCAGGGGUGAAAUCCUGGGAGCUCAACUCCAGAACUGCCUUUGGAUACUGAAGAUCUUGAGUUCGGGAGAGGUGAGUGGAACUGCGAGUGUAGAGGUGAAAUUCGUAGAUAUUCGCAAGAACACCAGUNGGCGAAGGCGGCUCACUGG
rnacentral:rRNA from 1 species